rnacentral:misc_RNA from 1 species
AAUUCUCAACCCUCCUAUUUUGUAAUGAAAUAGUUAUGGGCUUGGAUUAUGGCUGUCUGUCGGCUCGUCACGAGCCGGCUCAGGUGAAAUACACGAGCAACCCAGCUGGAACAGCGACGGCUUGACUCGGCGUAAUAACCUAUUUCGCUGAGGACGUCGCACUGUACGUUUCAAGUAGCGGUGCUUCUAAUGCAAAUCUAUCUUAAGC